rnacentral:rRNA from 1 species
GACGAACGCUGGCGGCGUGCUUAACACAUGCGAGUCGAACGGAAAGGCCCUGCUUUUGUGGGGUGCUCGAGUGGCGAACGGGUGAGUAACACGUGUGUAACCUGCCCUUGACUUUGGGAUAACUUCAGGAAACUGGGGCUAAUACCGGAUAGGAGCUCCUGCUGCAUGGUGGGGGUUGGAAAGUUUCGGCGGUUGGGGAUGGACUCGCGGCUUAUCAGCUUGUUGGUGGGGUAGUGGCUUACCAAGGCUUUGACGGGUAGCCGGCCUGAGAGGGUGACCGGCCACAUUGGGACUGAGAUACGGCCCAGACUCCUACGGGAGGCAGCAGUGGGGAAUAUUGCACAAUGGGCGGAAGCCUGAUGCAGCAACGCCGCGUGCGGGAUGACGGCCUUCGGGUUGUAAACCGCUUUCGCCUGUGACGAAGCGUGAGUGACGGUAAUGGGUAAAGAAGCACCGGCUAACUACGUG